GUUGGUAGGGUAAGGGCCUACCAAGUCAACGAUCGGUAGCCGGUCUGAGAGGAUGAACGGCCACAUUGGGACUGAGACACGGUCCAGACUCCUACGGGAGGCAGCAGUGGGGAAUAUUGGGCAAUGGGCGAAAGCCUGACCCAGCAACGCCGCGUGAGGGAAGAAGGUUUUCGGAUUGUAAACUUCUGUUUUUGGGGAAGAAGGAUGUGACGGUACCCAAGGAGUAAGCCCGGGCUAAUUACGUGCCAGCAGCCGCGGUAAUACGUAGGGGGCAAGCGUUGUCCGGAUUUACUGGGUGUAAAGGGGGGGUAGGCGGGAGUCCAAUUCAGAUGUGAAAUCCAUGGGUUCAACCCAUAAAUUGCAUUUGAAACUGUGUUUCUGGAGUGAGGGAGAGGCAGGGGGAAUUCCGAGGGUAGCGGUGAAAGGGGUGGAUUUUGGGAGGACCCCCAGGGGGAAGGCGGGUAACUGGAACAUCAACGGACGUGGAGCGUGAAAAUGUGGGGGAGCAACCAGGAUUAGAUACCCUGGUAGUCCCCGCGGUAAACGAUGAUUACUAGGUGUGGGGGGUUUGACCCUUUCCGUGCCGAACAAACGC
rnacentral:rRNA from 1 species